rnacentral:lncRNA from 12 species
AAAGAACUGGAAGUUGCAAACCCUUCAAUGCUUCAUUUGUUGCCCAUCUGUUUUCUGGAUGUGUCUGAACCCUUAGACUCCUACAAAUGUCUGCCUCUCUACCCAAAAGUUUUAGAGCUAUGAAUGAGGCAGACGGUGCUGGAGGAAGUCACGAAAGAAUCUCUGAAUCAGAUGGGAUUUCACCCACCCUCACAGGCCAGAUGACUUGUGCUAUCAUCUAUCAAAUCAAAGAGUGCUCCAGGCUUGCUAAAUGCGACAUGAGAUGGCCUCAUGCAGCUCAAGCACAGAAAAGCUCUGAAGCUGGAUUAAACAGAAGUAAACUACAAUGGGUAUGGAAGAGACUGUCCCCAGGGGUACAGAUGACAGAACGAAGCAUGCAUACUGGGCAGAUAACUGAAGGGACGCUCAGACGCCAGAGGAGACAAAGGCUCUGCCCUUUACCGACAUGCAGGCUUUGCCGGCUGCUGGGCUUCCCUCCCGCACAGGGAGCCUGGCACCUAUGCCUGCUCUCUGCCCCACUCCUGGUUUCUUUCCUGGGCUGA